rnacentral:piRNA from 1 species
UAUAUUUAGGAAUACGUGAUGGGUUUGCC